CACAGCAAUCCAGAGUGGCGCA
rnacentral:siRNA from 1 species